UUCUGGGAGGAUUGACAGAUUGAGAGCUCUUUCUUGAUUCGCUGGAUGAAGGUGCAUGUCCAUUCUUAGUUGGUGGAGCGAUUUGUCUGGUUAAUUCCGAUAACGAACGAGACUCUAUUAAAUAGGUGCGUGGUUCUCUGCACCUUGCACCCUUUUCAGAGGGACAAGCGGCUCCUAGCCGCACGAAACAGAGCAAUAACAGGUCUGUGAUGCCCUUAGAU
rnacentral:rRNA from 1 species